UGACAAGUCAGCGCUAUAAGGUGGAAGCUACAGCACACCAUCUACUUCCUGCCUUCCAUCUUCUUGGCUGCUGAGUGGGAAUAUUCUCUUUUAAAAUCAUGAGUGAGAAAAGUUCCUUCUUUUUGUUAGAGCUUUGCGUGGGCUUCAACCUUGACACAGAAGGGGGCUGGCACUGGUGCAGAUGGGCCUUUUAUUUUGUUGUUGUUGUUGUUAUUGUGCCUGUCUCCCUGUCUCAGCUGAGGCCAGUUAAAUUAGCCGAAGAAUAAAUUACAUCAAUUGUGAGCGGAGUAGAAACAGCUGGGGCAAGAGAACAAUGAAACCGGGACAGACAUACAAACAGGGGGUCCAUAAAAAACAAAGCUCCCCAGGCUUUUUUUCAUUAAGCGAGGAGUCAAUGCUGAGGACGUGCCUCCAAUCGGCAGACUUUCUGAAUCCUUUUUCUCCUGUCAAGGCCUCACCUGAAGAGAGAAUACACAGACCCUCUUCUGCAGAAGAACAGGUUGGAUCGGAACAGAGCAUCCUGAUAAGAACGAGCCCUCCUCAAUCACUGCAAACCCUCAGUGUUAGCGCAGAUUGCACAUGCAGGAACCACAGGGGUGAAGACACUUCAGUUGGACACAUACAGUAAUUCUUUUUUUUAUUAUUUUUAUUUUUUCAAUCCCUAAUUCUAAAGCGAUCCAUUAGUCUUCGCUUAUGCAUUCCAUGCAUGAAUCACACCAUAAUUAGCUCUUCUGUUAGCCUAUGCGUUUUGUAGCAUUUUAUUAACCUGGACACUAACAGCAUCUCAUCUACUGUAGCUCACGUCCAUUUUAUGCUGCUCUGUGUCAUUUUCCUGUUAUUCAAGUGUCAUAUGAUUAUUGAUUUUAUAGGAACAUCAGACUGGAGCCAUUGAGAAUGCACAUUUAAAUGAGCACAGCCUUUCUAUCUAUCAGUGCACACUCUGCGUUUCCAGAAUAGGAAUAUUGCAACAAUGCGGCCUGCAUUCAGAUCCAUUCCUCAGUCGUGAAAUGACUGCCCUCUAUGAAAUGAGCCUUUUAGAGGACCUAAAUUAUGCCCAUCAGUUAUUUAGCUCUUCUAAACGGGGAGAGAAGAGCAGAACGAGAGCACGAGCCGCAAUCGGGGGUGUGGAAUCAUGACAUGCUUAAUUCCCGAGUGAGUCGUCAGGGCAU
ensembl:lncRNA